CCUUGCGGCCAGGCCCUCUUCUUCUUUUCCCCCCUUUGCAGCCAGGCUGCAGAAGGGGGCUGUUUUUCCCUCUUGCUGUUUAGUGGGAGUGGGUGCAAGGCUCAGCACUGGAGCAGAGCCAAAGUGGACGGAUUGAUAAUGAAACAGCUCGGAGCCAGGGAAAGGAGUCCCAGGUGAAAUUGGAGACGGACCAUGAGAGAAGGGCUCGGGAGUUGCCCUGCCGAGGUUUGACUGUGGGCAACCGAAAACUGACUUGAAGGACACGUAUGUUGAUAAGCUACACUACAGCAGCCUACAGAACUGAGGUAUGAGACCAAGAGGGAGAGAUCAUACAGCAGAAAUGACAGAGAACCAAGGAGAAAGGACUCAGAGCUACCUUCCUGGACUUCAUGAGGAAGGAAGGACUUCUACAAACAACUGAAGGUUUCCUGCAUAGAUAAUGGGAAAAAACCAUACUCAUCAAGAAAACCAGUGCAUUCAGUAAAGGAUAUGAAAACUUCAAGGAGAGAAAAAUAUAUGUUUAGAAUCCUAUUUCUGUCCUGAGUUUAAGCGUCCCCUGCAAAUUACCUAUACAUCAAUUGUGUAUGAUACUUUUAAGGUUAGGUUGAACAAAAACUGUGGAAAGAAAAGUCAGUAAGUAAAUAGCACUGCACAGAAACUGUUGUGAAUUGCAUGAGUGACUCCUAACAGGUCUUGUACAAGAUAUCUGUACUUCAAUGUCCUUAGAUGUCAUAUUAGUUCAGGACUCUUGUCAAAUUUGUGUACAUUUAGAUGAAUGCUUAACCACAGAAUUCCAGUGUUGCUUGGUAGUGGUAAAUAAGACAGUCCUAAGUGGCGGUGGUGUCGUUGUUGUUGAAUCUGUCAAAAUGCACUAGACACCAAUGAAAAUUGCAGUAUCCUUUGUUUCUGCAUAUACAUGUCUUUAAAUUUUAGAUAAAGUGAAUUGUUGUAAAGAGGCUCUGCCAUAAAUUACAGCUGACAGUG